AGAGAAGCUUGCUUCUCUGCUGACGAGCGGCGGACGGGUGAGUAAGACUUGGGAAUUUGCCUUUAGGCGGGGGACAACCACUGGAAACGGUGGCUAAUACCGCAUAAUGUCUACGGACCAAAGUGGGGGACCUUCGGGCCUCACACCUAAAGAUGAGCCCAAGCGGGAUUAGCUAGUUGGUGGGGUAAAGGCUCACCAAGGCGACGAUCCCUAGCUGUUCUGAGAGGAUGAUCAGCCACACUGGGACUGAGACACGGCCCAGACUCCUACGGGAGGCAGCAGUGGGGAAUAUUGCACAAUGGGGGAAACCCUGAUGCAGCCAUGCCGCGUGUGUGAAGAAGGCCUUCGGGUUGUAAAGCACUUUCAGUGGUGAGGAAAGGGUGAUCGUUAAUAGCGGUUACAGUUGACGUUAGCCACAGAAGAAGCACCGGCUAACUCCGUGCCAGCGGCCGCGGUAAUACGGAGGGUGCAAGCGUUAAUCGGAAUUACUGGGCGUAAAGCGUACGUAGGCGGUGUGUUAAGCUAGAUGUGAAAGCCCCGGGCUCAACCUGGGAAUAGCAUUUAGAACUGGCACGCUAGAGUCCUGAAGAGGGUGGUAGAAUUUCCAGUGUA
rnacentral:rRNA from 1 species